rnacentral:rRNA from 1 species
UAGGGAAUCUUCGGCAAUGGGGGGAACCCUGACCGAGCAACGCCGCGUGAGUGAAGAAGGUUUUCGGAUCGUAAAGCUCUGUUGUUAAGGAAGAACGAGUGUGAGAAUGGAAAGUUCAUACUGUGACGGUACUUAACCAGAAAGCCACGGCUAACUACGUGCCAGCAGCCGCGGUAAUACGUAGGUGGCAAGCGUUGUCCGGAUUUAUUGGGCGUAAAGCGAGCGCAGGCGGUCAAUUAAGUCUGAUGUGAAAGCCCCCGGCUCAACCGGGGAGGGUCAUUGGAAACUGGUUGACUUGAGUGCAGAAGAGGAGGGUGGAAUUCCGUGUGUAGCGGUGAAAUGCGUAGAUAUGUGGAGAAACACCAGUGGCGAAGGCGACUCUCUGGUCUGUAACUGACGCAGAGGCUCGAAAGCGUGGGUAGCAAACAGG